AUGGUCAAAUCAUGUUGAAACACCAGUUCUCAUAUGAUCACUGAAGUUAAGCAGUAUUGAGUCUGGUCAGUACUUUUGUUGGCAACCACUUGGGAAUACCAGGUGCUGUAAG